CCUACGGGGGGCAGCAGUGAGGAAUAUUGGUCAAUGGGCGAGAGCCUGAACCAGCCAAGUAGCGUGAAGGAUGACUGCCCUACGGGUUGUAAACUUCUUUUCUCACGGAAUAAAGUGAAGCACGUGUGCCUUUUUGUAUGUACUUUAUGAAUAAGGAUCGGCUAACUCCGUGCCAGCAGCCGCGGUAAUACGGAGGCGCCGAGCGUUAUCCGGAUUUAUUGGGUUGAAAGGGAGCGUAGAUGGGUUGUUAAGUCAGUUGUGAAAUUUUGCGGCUCAACCGUAAAAUUGCAAUUGAUACUGGCAGCCUUGAGUACAGUUGAGGUAGGCGGAAUUCGUGGUGUAGCGGUGAAAUGCUUAGAUAUCACGAAGAACUCCGAUUGCGAAGGCAGCUUACUAAACUGCCACUGACAUUGAUGCUCGAAAGUGUGGGUAUCAAACAGGAUUAGAUACCCCGGUAGUC
rnacentral:rRNA from 1 species